rnacentral:rRNA from 1 species
AUUGAACGCUGGCGGCAUGCCUUACACAUGCAAGUCGAACGGUAACAGGUCUUCGGAUGCUGACGAGUGGCGAACGGGUGAGUAAUAUAUCGGAACGUGCCCAGUCGUGGGGGAUAACGCAGCGAAAGCUGUGCUAAUACCGCAUACGAUCUAUGGAUGAAAGCGGGGGAUCGCAAGACCUCGCGCGAUUGGAGCGGCCGAUAUCAGAUUAGGUAGUUGGUGGGUAAAGGCCACCAAGCCAACGAUCUGUAGCUGGUCUGAGAGGACGACCAGCCACACUGGAACUGAGACACGGUCCAGACUCCUACGGGAGGCAGCAGUGGGGAAUUUUGGACAAUGGGCGCAAGCCUGAUCCAGCAAUGCCGCGUGCAGGAUGAAGGCCUUCGGGUUGUAAACUGCUUUUGUACGGAACGAAAAGGACUCUGGUUAAUACCUGGGGCUCGAUGACGGUACCGUAAGAAUAAGCACCGGCUAACUACGUGCC